rnacentral:rRNA from 1 species
AUUGAACGCUGGCGGCAGGCCUAACACAUGCAAGUCGAGCGGAUGACGGGAGCUUGCUCCUUGACUCAGCGGCGGACGGGUGAGUAAUGCCUAGGAAUCUGCCUGGUAGUGGGGGACAACGUUUCGAAAGGAACGCUAAUACCGCAUACGUCCUACGGGAGAAAGCAGGGGACCUUCGGGCCUUGCGCUAUCAGAUGAGCCUAGGUCGGAUUAGCUAGUUGGUGGGGUAAUGGCUCACCAAGGCGACGAUCCGUAACUGGUCUGAGAGGAUGAUCAGUCACACUGGAACUGAGACACGGUCCAGACUCCUACGGGAGGCAGCAGUGGGGAAUAUUGGACAAUGGGCGAAAGCCUGAUCCAGCCAUGCCGCGUGUGUGGAGAAGGUCUUCGGAUUGUAAAGCACUUUAAGUUGGGAGGAAGGGCAGUAAGUUAAUACCUUGCUGUUUUGACGUUACCGACAGAAUAAGCACCGGCUAACUCUGUGCCAGCCGCCGCUGUAA